GGAGGGGAGCAAGCUCCAUGCGUCAGUUCCCGCCAAAUUGUAGCUCUUUCUUUCGAGCGAGGACGUGCUGACACACUGCACAGAGACGGGCAAGCACUCAGAGGCAUUUCGUUUGCCUUGAUCCUGGAGGCUGCCUUCUCCCAUUGCCGAGGAUUUGAAGCGAACUCCUGGCAGAUCAGAAAUGUUCAGGCGAACGGCGGUUAUAUUUGUCCGUGGACCCAAGACUUCGUUGACGGGCAAAUAUGUCAGAUUUUCUUGUUUUUUAUUUGUGGCAUCUUAUUGUAAGACCGUGACAUAUUUUGCCGUUUUCUCUAGGGAACCCUGCAACAAGGACUGUAGUGUGAAUAGCGUGCUGCGCUGCUCUCGCCAACUGAAAAGAACUCUGGUGUGCUGUAAAUGCCGACUGCGCAAUAUGUGACUGGCCCGCGGCUGCUUUGAAGGUAAGAUUGUGUUCUCAUUAAUCUAUUUAUUGUACCAUUUGUUUUCCAAUGACAUAGCCAACAACGAAAACCUCGAUCCAUCCUCUCUCCACAUAUUAUCUAGUUUGUGCGCUGUGGAGCUUGAAGCACUUCUCGGAAUUUCAGCACACUCGCAUUUAUUGUAAGUGCAGUGUUUUUCUU